rnacentral:lncRNA from 1 species
GAUCCAACUUGAAUGCUUCCUGAUUAAAUAUAUACAGGAGUGAUUUCAGAGGAAUUUAAGUUUUGGAUCAUUCUUUUGAGAAAGAAAGAAAAGUACCCUUUUAAAAGAGCGUACUUUCAACAUAAAGACGACGAGGAUAAAGGCAUUUAUGAUGAACUACUUCCACAUAAUGAAUAAUUGAACAAAGGAGAGAAUUGUGAGAGUGAGAAAAAGUGAGACAAAGAAGAAAAACUAUAAAUCAGCAAAAUACAGUGCCAAGAGCUCUGGACCACAAAUCAGAAGACCUGAGCCCUAAUUCCUUUCCAGUCAUUGGAUUUGUUCGUCGCUUGCCAAAAUAGCAGCGAACUCUCUGUCAAACUGCAACUCAUUUUAUCGGAGCAAAAACUGAACAAAGAACUGCUAUCAUUUCUGAGGUCAGAGGCAGUGCAGCUUGUGUUACAACUCAAAAGAGUAAUACUCUGAAAAAAGAAAAAAAAAGAUGGCGCUGAAAAUAAACAUGUUCAGCAGCCAUUGUGAUUCAACUUACCCAGAUGUGCUUUUCAUGAGAUGGAGAAGGACGGAUGGAAAAGAAAAGCACACAAAUGUUAAUGGAUACAGUUCAAUCCAAAGAAAACCAUGGAAUAAAACAAGAGCAUUAUUUAAGAUGUGAGAAAGCUCAGGUAUGAGAAAGACAUGGUGCCAUUUUGUAUUUCAUCAUGACACACAUACUCACUGCGUCGAAAAGCAUAGUCAGGCUGAGGGUAGUUCUAAUAGUUGACCAAUAAGUCUAUGUCUUGAGUAUGAGCCACU